UACGUAGGGAGCAAGCGUUGUCCGGAAUCAUUGGGCGUAAAGCGCGCGUAGGUGGCCUCAUAAGUCCGCUGUGAAAGUCAAAGGCUCAACCUUUGAAAGCCGGUGGAUACUGUGAGGCUAGAGUACGGAAGAGGCGAGUGGAAUUCCUGGUGUAGCGGUGAAAUGCGCAGAUAUCAGGAGGAACACCAAUAGCGAAGGCAGCUCGCUGGGACGUUACUGACGCUGAGGCGCGAAAGCGUGGGGAGCGAACAGG
rnacentral:rRNA from 1 species